CAGCAGCCGCGGGAAUACGAAGGGGGCUAGCGUUGCUCGGAAUUACUGGGCGUAAAGGGAGCGUAGGCGGAUCGUUUAGUCAGGGGUGAAAUCCCGGGGCUCAACCUCGGAACUGCCUUUGAUACUGGCGAUCUUGAGUAUGGGAGAGGUGUGUGGAACUCCGAGUGUAGAGGUGAAAUUCGUAGAUAUUCGGAAGAACACCAGUGGCGAAGGCGACACACUGGCCCAUUACUGACGCUGAGGCUCGAAAGCGUGGGGAGCAAACAGGAUUAGAUACCCCCGUAGUCCCUGUCUCUUAUAC
rnacentral:rRNA from 1 species